GUCAACGUCUCCUAAGAUGCUGGUAGCUGUCAUUGGGCUGUUUUCCAAUCGUGUGUGUGGAACCAUUGUCUCACCUCAUUCUCAGCCAUCGCACCCCAGUGGGAUGAUGGAUUACAUGUUGUUAUCUCCACUCUCUGAAAUCUGCUUUUAAGAAGUAAAAAAAAAAUUGUAUGCAAAUGUUUGUAGGAAUUUUAUUAAUAAUCUGCAAAAAUGGGACAACCCAAAUGACCUUCGAAUGAUAAGUGGAUAAACAAAUCAUGGUAAAUCCAUAGGGUGGAAUACUAUUUAGCAAUAAAAAGGAAAAAAAAUAACUGAUGCAUGCAACAGUGUGUAUUCAUCUCAAGUGCGUUAUGCUAAAGAAAAAUGGUCAGCCACAAAACUUCCAUAAAUUCAGAAGAUACUCAGGAAAAGGCAAAACUAUAUGGACAGAAAACAAAUUAAUGCCAUUCACAGAAGGUCCCUUGGAUGGCCACGUGCCUUUGUCUUUUUGAAUUAUGGACUUAAUCUCUCCAUUUGGCGAAUUCAUUCAUGGGAUACCUUGGUAGAGACCUCCUUUUUCUCCAGUCAGGACCUUCCUUCCUCAUCUUGUCUGGCAGAGCAUGGAAAAAUCCUGGGGAAGAGCAGACCACCCAUCGAACCUGCCCACUGAGAAAAGAGCUAGAAGUUAGAAGAAUAAAAAAAGAU